GGGGGUGUAGUCUAAUUGGUUAGAAUUUUGGUCUCCAAAUCCAACGAUGUGGGUUCAAGUCCCGCCACCCUCG
rnacentral:tRNA from 1 species